rnacentral:rRNA from 1 species
UACGUAGGGGGCAAGCGUUGUCCGGAAUCAUUGGGCGUAAAGAGCGUGUAGGCGGCCCGGUAAGUCCGCUGUGAAAGUCCAGGGCUCAACCCUGGGAUGCCGGUGGAUACUGGCGGGCUCGAGUACGGAAGAGGCGAGUGGAAUUCCUGGUGUAGCGGUGAAAUGCGCAGAUAUCAGGAGGAACACCAAUGGCGAAGGCAGCUCGCUGGAACGGUACUGACGCUGAGGCGCGAAAGCGUGGGGAGCGAACAGG